rnacentral:lncRNA from 1 species
AAUUAGCUAAACAAAGAAAUCAUGGCGGAUUGUUUACAUUUGGCAGCGCCCGGGCUGCGCCGACCGCCGGCCCCGAGCCGCCGCGGGCUCCGAGGAGUCGGCCGAGCUGCUCCCGCGCCCUGGCCGGACGUUUGAAACUAUUGCUUUGCUGAAAACAUCUGACUGCCAGGCUAGGAUGUGACACUUAAGGGACUUACCAAUUUGGGAUUCUUCCAGGAGCUGAAAACUGAUUGCAAAUAUGAAACAGAUUUCACUACAGGACUUGAACCCUACAUUAAAAAACAACAAGCUCCCCAAAAUAAUUGAAAAAGAUCUUCACCAAAGAGUAGCUGCAAUGUGAAUGGCAGGAUAUGAAGCAAGUAAGAGCUUGAAAGUCACUUUUUGAUUUGUUCUACACACUUCGUCACGUGUUCACUGCACAGGAGAGGUCGACUGGCACUCUGCACUGAGCAGAAUCAUAUGUUACCCUCGCCCUGCCAUUUCCAUCAUUCCACUGUGCUCUCCCUGAACCAGAUGGUGAAAAGAUUAUCUUAAGCUUGGAAUUAAGUGAUGAAAGGGACCUUCGAAAUUAUCAACUCUAAAUACUUCUUUACAGGAAAAUUGAAAGCAGUUAAGAACCUGCCCCCUACCGUGGAGUUCUUGGUGCCGUGAGUUGGAGUUCUUGGUGCCUGGGUGCGUCCCCAAGGCCACUGGUCUUCAGAUCUUUCUUACUUGAGAAGAACGCCUCCGCCUCCUGGCUCUCCCACCAGUGGUAUUGCCACCACCACACACCAGCAUAAAGCACAGAUUGCUGCCCAGCUCCUUGGAGAGGGGCCAGUGCAUUUGUCAGGAAUUGAAAAGUUUUGGAGCCAGUUCGAGGACUUUCUCCUGCACAAAGUGUUGGCUGGAAGCAUGAAGCAAUAACACAUGGUUUGCCAAAGAAUCUGCAUUGAAUAAUACUGGUGGUGACCACAAGAACAUGCCUCUCUGACUGCAAGGAACAAGAGUGACCCAGGGUUUCAGCUGCUGCCUUGGAAAUUCAUCACAGUGCAAGUCUAUGCUUCCCACGGGCUGCUCCCAGCCUGUGAAUAAGCCUGGCAUCUUUGUUGAGGCAGGCCUAUUUCUGGAGAUGCAGGAUCCUCCGAUGGGCGAAUUUGGCUCUAGGACUGCUUGAUGGCCUUGACAGACUUUCCUUAGAAAUGCAUGGCAAUUUAGGGUUCCUCCACCCUUCCCUCUUUCUCUCCUUCACCUAGGGUCGGACUUGCAUCAUGGCCUGAAAGCUCCACCAGCCUCUCCUGCCCUCCUCCUCAUUUUCUUUCACAGGCAUAUCCUCUAAUAAAUUUCUUGCACAUUGAAUCUCAUCUUGGCAUCUACUUAUUGGAGGAUCUGAAAAUUCACAUUUUUAACACAAUAAUAAAAUUCACAUUUUUUCAUCAUCCACUAUAUGCCAAGUAAUGUGUUACUGUGUAGUCUCAUUAAAUCCUCUCAAAUCCAAGAGAUAAGAAUUACAUUUAUUUUACAAGAAGAAAAGCAGUCACUCUGAGAGGUAAAAUAAUGUAUAUGGCAGUAGAUUGCAGAGUUAGCAUUUGAAGAAUGUUCGGUUGUACUCCAAAGCCCACCACAAAACUCCACCACUAAACCACAGCACCUUUGGAGCAAUUGGAAUGACGAUUCUGUUCAAAUCAUAUUAAUACCAAUCACUGUAUUUGACUUUUUCGUUUAGAUGUGGCUGUGAUUGAAAAAUCAUGGUCUUUGUAUAUAGUCACCUGUUCUAUCUGCCUUUGUUUUGGGGGACUGCCACCUGAAAUUCCUGACUUUUACCCUGGGAGGGGCUUGUGCAGAGGAUCUGAGUUACUCAUCUGAACGGACUGCCUAAAGACACCUCAGUUUGUGUUGUCUGUGCAUUCACUCAGCCUCCAUAGCUAAACUAAGAUGCUGGGAAUGAGAGACUGUUCAAGGAGUAGAAGCCUUGCUUCUAGCUUCUAUAUUCC